GUGCUUGCUACGGCAGCACAUAUACUAAAUUUGGACCAAUACAGAGAAGAUUAGCAUGGCCCCUGCACAAGGAUGACAUGCAAAUUCAUGAAGUGUUCCAUAAAAAA
rnacentral:snRNA from 1 species